rnacentral:rRNA from 1 species
CGCCCGUCAAACCAUGGGAGCUGGUAAUGCCCGAAGUCGGUUUAUAAACAAACUGCCUAAGGCAGGACUGGUGACUGGGGUUAAGUCGUAACAAGGUAUCCCUACGAGAACGUGGGGAUGGAUCACCUCCUUUCUACGGAGUACAAACAUACAUUCAUAAUUUUGACUGAAUGUUAUUAACCUUAUUUUUUCACUAGGCCUUUUUAAUAUAUUUUGUUAUGUGACUUUUAUGGCCUAAAAGUCUUAUAUCUAGUUUUGAGAGGACAUCCUCUCUAAUUGUUCUUUGAAAACUGAAUAGUAAAUUUUUUGAUAUUUACAACGACAUCUAAAUAGUUGAAUUAAGUCAAUUUGUUUAGAUUUCAUCGAGAUAGUCAUUUUAAAAAAAUGAUUCAUUGAAAUGUCUUAAAAUACACAUCAAAACAAACAAUCUAUACAAUAGGAAUUUAUAUACUUUUAAAUAAGGAAGAGUUUGUGGUGGAUGCCUUGGGUCUGGAAGUCGAUGAAGGACGUGAUUACCUGCGAUAAGCCUCGUGGAGCUGGAUAUGCGCUAUGAAACGGGGAUUUCCGAAUGGGGGAACCUAACUAGAGUAAUGUCUAGUUGCCAUUUUCUGAAUUCAUAGGAAAAUGAGUGAGACACCAUGUGAACUGAAACAUCUUAGUAGCAUGAGGAAGAAAAAAUAAAUAAUGAUUUCUUUAGUAGCGGCGAGCGAACGAGAAACAGCCCAAACCAGAAAUGGGGUUAUAGGACAGUCUACAUAAAGUUACAAAAUUUAAUGAUAGCAGAAGCUUUUGGGAAGAAGUGGCACAGAGGGUGAUACCCCCGUACGUGAAAUCAUUAAAUCUUUUGGCUGUAUCCUGAGUAGGGCGGGGCACGUGGAACCCUGUCUGAAUUUGCCGGGACCACCCGGUAAGGCUAAAUACUAACCAGACACCGAUAGUGAACUA